UUACAAGAAUAAGCUAGCCGCAGUUAGCCUUGGUUAGUACUUAAAUAGGAAACUUCCUGGGAACACUGGGUGCUUUCUGUAGA
rnacentral:rRNA from 1 species